ensembl:snRNA U6 U6 spliceosomal RNA
GUACUCGCUUUGGCAGCACACAUAUUAAAAUUGGAAAGAUACAGAGAAGAUUAGCAUGGCCCCUGCAUAAGGGUGACACGCAAAUUCGUGAAGCAUUCCAUAUUUUU